ACAACAGGGAUUGCCCUAGUAACGGCGAGUGAAGCGGCAACAGCUCAAAUUUGAAAGCUGGCUCUCGGGCCCGCAUUGUAAUUUGCAGAGGAUGCUUCUGGCGACGCGCCUUCCGAGUUCCCUGGAACGGGACGCCAUAGAGGGUGAGAGCCCCGUCCGGUCGUGCGCCUAGCCUCUGUGAAGCUCCUUCGACGAGUCGAGUAGUUUGGGAAUGCUGCUCAAAAUGGGAGGUAUACGUCUUCUAAAGCUAAAUACCGGCCAGAGACCGAUAGCGCACAAGUAGAGUGAUCGAAAGAUGAAAAGCACUUUGAAAAGAGAGUUAAAAAGUACGUGAAAUUGUUGAAAGGGAAGCGCUCAUGACCAGACUUGGGCUGGCCCGAUCAUCCGGCGUUCUCGCCGGUGCACUCGGGCCGCCCAGGCCAGCAUCAGCUUUCGCCGGGGGAUAAAGGCGGCGGGAAUGUGGCUCCCUCGGGAGUGUUAUAGCCCGCCGUGCAAUACCCUGGUGGGGGCUGAGGUUCGCGCGUAUGCACGGAUGCUGGCGUAAUGGUUAUCAGCGA
rnacentral:rRNA from 1 species